UACGAAGGGGGGCUAGCGUUGUUCGGAUUCACUGGGCGUAAAGGGUGCGUAAGUGGUCGGGUAAGUCUGAUGUGAAAUCUCCGAGCUUAACUCGGAAAUGGCAUUGGAUACUAUUCGGCUAGAGGGUUUGAGGGGGGACUGGAAUACUUGGUGUAGCAGUGAAAUGCGUAGAUAUCAAGUGGAACACCAGUGGCGAAGGCGAGUCCCUGGAAAACUCCUGACACUGAGGCACGAAAGCUAGGGGAGCAAACAGG
rnacentral:rRNA from 1 species